rnacentral:tRNA from 1 species
GCAGUGAUGGUUCAAUGGUAGAAUUACCACCUUCAUGUGGGAGACCCAGGUUCUAUUCCUGCCCAGUGCA